GGCUGCUAAUUAUGGCCAGGACCCCAUGUGUCUGAACCUAUGAUAUAAGACAUCAUAGCACAAAAGAAAAAGUAUGUGUCAGUACUUUAAAUAUACAGGUAUGCUAAGUGAGGCAGGCUAAAAUGCAAGGGUUCAUAUGCAUGAAUAAUAACUGGCAGAGUAACAUGAAUAUAACUGAAUGAGAGUACAUAUAUAUCUAAAACUAUUGUAAAUAUUGAUUAUCCAAUGUUGCAUGUGAAUCUACUUUACUGUAACUGAGAUCAUUGAUAACAGAAGUACUGAUGAACGAGUUACUG
rnacentral:lncRNA from 1 species